GAUGAACGCUGGCGGCGUGCUUAACACAUGCAAGUCGAACGAUGAAGCCCAGCUUGCUGGGUGGAUUAGUGGCGAACGGGUGAGUAACACGUGAGUAACCUGCCCUUUACUCUGUGAUAAGCCUGGGAAACUGGGUCUAAUACUGGAUAUGACUUCUCAUCGCAUGGUGGGGGGUGGAAAGAUUUAUUGGUCUUGGAUGGACUCGCGGCCUAUCAGCUUGUUGGUGAGGUAAUGGCUCACCAAGGCGACGACGGGUAGCCGGCCUGAGAGGGUGACCGGCCACACUGGGACUGAGACACGGCCCAGACUCCUACGGGAGGCAGCAGUGGGGAAUAUUGCACAAUGGGCGCAAGCCUGAUGCAGCGACGCCGCGUGAGGGAUGACGGCCUUCGGGUUGUAAACCUCUUUCAGUAGGGAAGAAGCGAGAGUGACGGUACCUGCAGAAGAAGCGCCGGCUAACUACGUG
rnacentral:rRNA from 1 species